GACGAACGCUGGCGGCGUGCUUAACACAUGCAAGUCGAACGGAAAGGCCAUGCUCUUGUGGGGUGCUCGUGUGGCGAACGGGUGUGUAACACGUGAGUAACAUGCCCCUGUAUUUGGGAUAACACCUGGGAACAGGGGAUAAUAUCGGAUAGGAGCUCCUGCUGCAUAGUGGGGGUUGGAAAGUUUCGGCGGUUGUGGAUGGACUGGCGGGUUAUCAGCUUGUUGGUGGGGUAGUGGCUGACCAAGGCUGCGACGGGUAGCCGGCCUGAGAGGGGGACCGGCGACAAGGGUACUAAGAGACGGAGCAGACGCCAACGGGAGGCAGCAGGGGGGAGUAUUGCGCAAUGGGCGGAAGUCUGUGACGGCAACGCCGCGUGCGGGAUGACGUCCUUCGAGUUAAAAACCGCUGUCGCCUGUGACGAAGCGUGAGUGACGGUAAUGGGUAAAGAAGCACCGGCUAACUACGUG
rnacentral:rRNA from 1 species